UAGCGGCAGGCCUAACACAUGCAAGUCGUGGGGUAACGGGNUAGCAAUAUCGCUGACGACCGGCGCACGGGUGAGUAAGACAUAUGCAACCUUCCUCUGACUGGGGCAUAGCUUCCGGAAACGGAAAUUAAUUCCCCAUAAUAUUCCGACAGGGCAUCCUGAUGGAAUUAAAGCUCCGGCGGUCAGAGAUGGGCAUAUGUGCCAUUAGCUAGUUGGUGAGGUAAUAGCUCACCAAGGCUACGAUGGCUAGGGGGUCUGAGAGGAUGAUCCCCCACACUGGUACUGAGACACGGACCAGACUCCUACGGGAGGCAGCAGUGAGGAAUAUUGGGCAAUGGGCGCAAGCCUGACCCAGCCAUGCCGCGUGAAGGAUGAAUGCCCUAUGGGUUGUAAACUUCUUUUGUACGGGACGAAACUUCCGGACGUGUCCGGGACUGACAGUACCGUGCGAAUAAGCAUCGGCUAACUCCGUGCCAGCAGCCGCGGUAAUACGGAGGAUGCAAGCGUUAUCCGGAUUCAUUGGGUUUAAAGGGUGCGUAGGCGGGAUAAUAAGUCAGUGGUGAAAGCCUGCGGCUUAACCGUAGAAUUGCCAUUGAUACUGUUAUUCUUGAGUACAGUUGAGGUGGGCGGAAUGUGUAAUGUAGCGGUGAAAUGCUUAGAUAUUACACAGAA
rnacentral:rRNA from 1 species